UACAUGGGGUGCAAACGUUGCUCGGAAUUAUUGGGCGUAAAGCGCGCGUAGGCGGUUACUUAAGUCGGAUGUGAAAGCCCUCGGCUUAACUGAGGAAGUGCACCCGAAACUGAGUAGCUAGAGUACGAAAGAGGGUCGCGGAAUUCCCGGUGUAGAGGUGAAAUUCGUAGAUAUCUGGAGGAACACCGGUGGCGAAGGCGGCAUCCUGGACCAAUAUUGACGCUGAGGAGCGAAAGCCAGGGGAGCAAACGGG
rnacentral:rRNA from 1 species